GUGAACGCACAGUGUGAGACGUAGACGCAGCGAUAUCACGAUGGCGAAAGCGAUGUUUCAUCUUUGUCGAGGGAAGAAUUGCGAAGAGAAGAGUAUGGCAGACAGAGAGGCACGAGAUAUGUACACUAUGCAUCCUUUCUCACUGUCCAGCUGAUGCCGUCCAGUGGAGCCUCCUACGUGAAAUACUGCUGCUGACCAUGGUGCGCCAACGUUGGAUGAAUUCACAAAAAUCCUUGAACGAGCAUCUAUAUAGACUAAAUAAACAUUUCCUUUUAUUUGUAUAA